rnacentral:rRNA from 1 species
UACGUAGGGGGCAAGCGUUGUCCGGAUUUAUUGGGCGUAAAGAGCGUGUAGGCGGUUUGGUAGGUCCGUUGUGAAAACUCGAGGCUCAACCUCGAGACGCCGGCGGAAACCAUCAGGCUAGAGUCCGGAAGAGGAGAGUGGAAUUCCUGGUGUAGCGGUGAAAUGCGCAGAUAUCAGGAAGAACACCCGUGGCUAAGGCGGCUCUCUAGUACGGUACUGACGCUAAGACGCGAAAGCGUGGGGAGCGAACAGG